rnacentral:rRNA from 1 species
UGGGGAAUUUUGGACAAUGGGGGAAACCCUGAUCCAGCCAUCCCGCGUGUGCGAUGAAGGCCUUCGGGUCGUAAAGCACUUUUGGCAGGAAAGAAACGUCAUGGGUUAAUACCCCGUGAAACUGACGGUACCUGCAGAAUACGCACCGGCUAACUACGUGCCAGCAGCCGCGGUAAUACGUAGGGUGCAAGCGUUAAUCGGAAUUACUGGGCGUAAUGCGUGCGCAGGCGGUUCGGAAAGAAAGAUGUGAAAUCCCAGAGCUCAACUUUGGAACUGCAUUUUUAACUACCGGGCUAGAGUGUGGCAGAGGGAGGUGGAAUUCCGCGUGUAGCAGUGAAAUGCGUAGAUAUGCGGAGGAACACCGAUGGCGAAGGCAGCCUCCUGGGAUAACACUGACGCUCAUGCACGAAAGCGUGGGGAGCAAACAGG